rnacentral:rRNA from 1 species
UAACUGUCUCUUACAGGCAAUCGGUGAAAUUGAUCUCCCUGUGCGAAAGCAGGGAUAACCCCAUAAGACGAGAAGACCCUGUGGAACUUCAAAAACAGCAACCACCCCAACAUACAUCCACACCCACCUCGGGCGCACUUAUCAACAAAGCACUGGUUUGCAUUUUUUCGGUUGGGGCGACCUUGGAGCAAAACAGAACCUCCAAAAACUGGACCUUCCCUCCAAACCAAGAGCAACCACUCAACGUGCCAAGAGCACCCAGACCCAAUAUAAUUGAUCAAUGGACCAAGCUACCCCAGGGAUAACAGCGCGAUCUCCUCCAAGAGUCCAUAUCGACGAGGAGGUUUACGACCUCGAUGUUGGAUCAGGACAUCCUAGUGGUGCAGGAGCUACUAAGGGUUCGUUUGUUCAACGAUUAACAGUCCUACGUGAUCUGAGUUCAGACCGGAGCAAUCCAGGUCGGUUUCUAUCUAUGAUGAACUCUUCCUCGUACGAAAGGAUCGGAAAAGUGAGGCCAAUACCACAAGCAAGCCUUCGCCUUAAGUAAUGAAACCAACUCAAUUACAAAAGGCUAUCACCCCACAUCACGUCCUAGAAAAGG